AAAAGCUCUUACUCAUCAUUACCCCAAACUUUCCAAAUUAUCAGGAGGAUGGCUUCUGCACAAGGCUCUUGGUAAUGUAGACUUUAAACAGGUUAGAAGGUCAGGGGUUUCUUAUUACUUUUUAUUUCCAAUCUUUUAAUUAUUCUUAAUUGCUCCUCAUAGGUGGAUCUGGACAAAGAAAACUUACAGUCGUCCCCCCAGAAGCUGAGGGAUAUAAUACUCAGUAUUUAAGAUCUGUGAGUGGAGGGGGUAAAACACUUUGUACAUAGUUCCACUCCAGGAGGAACUAGACACAUUGCCUCUUCCUGUUGAUGCACAUGAAUUCCAGAAGAUGCCAAAGGCAACUUGCCAAGCCUGCGGGUUGUCUAUGCCUUUGCAAAUUUUGGCUGUUCAUGUUAAAUCAUGUUGCAUUGGCAGGUCAUCCACAGAGUACGACUCUCUCUACGAUGAUUGUUGUUCUUCCCCUGAUGUGUCUAUUGUUGGGGAGUUCUCCUCUGUGAACUCUGUGGAAACCACUGGUACAAGUACAUCCAGAAAGCCUUCCUGUGAUAUGUCUGAAUUAUCUGGAGUGAACUCUUCUGUGGCAGCCAAUAGUAACAGUACAUCUAUGUCUAAGGUAAUGGCAUUUAUGCAAUUCCUACAAUUGGUCUUACUUAAUAGAUAUUACACUCAUUCUAUUUUAAGUAGUACAUUUCUUGUUUUUCACUGGAGGUAAUAUUGAUAUCUUCUAUUCAGGGCUCAUGUCCAGUGUGCCUCAUGAUUUUCCCAUUGGAUUAUUUGGAAGUCCAUGCUAGCUUGUGUGGUGAAAGGUGACAAAUUAAAAAUGUUUGUUUAAUGUAUAAAUCUUUAAAAAAGAAAAUCCCUUUAAGUAUUUUUUUUAUGUUUAUAUAUUUGUAAGGAACUAUCCAGUUCUUAAUGUCUAAGUAUAGCAAUAUUUGUUUGCCUCUGGUCCUGGAGGAUCAGAAUCAUUACAGUUUGGUGGUUCACUAAUUCUGGAAAUUAAAAGCAUGUGUUAAAUCAGGUAUGUUGCCAAACUGUGAUUACACAGGCCUUUCAGGGUUCUAGUU